UGCAGAUCUUGGUGGUAGUAGCAAAUAUUCAAAUGAGAACUUUGAAGGCCGAAGUGGAGAAGGGUUCCAUGUGAACAGCAGUUGUACAUGGGUCAGUCGACCCUAAGGGAUAGGCGAAGGCCGUUCUGAAGCGGGGUGAUGUUCGCGUCGCCCCGGCGGACCGAAAGGGAAUCGGGUUAAUAUUCCCGAACCUCGACGCGGAGAUUGGCGCUCCGGCGCCUAGUGCGGCAACGCAAACGAACUCGGAAACGCCGACGUGGGUCCCGGGAAGAGUUCUCUUUUCUUGGUAAGGGGCGGCGACCCUGGAAUCGGUUCGCCCGGAGAUAGGGACAUGGGCCCCGUAAAGCAGCACGUCUCUUGUGCUGUCCGGUGAGCUCGCGUCGGCCCUUGAAAAUCCGAGGGAGACGGUGUAAUUUUCGUGCGAGGUCGUACCCAUAUCCGCAGCAGGUCUCCAAGGUGAACAGCCUCUGGCCGAUAGAACAAUGUAGGUAAGGGAAGUCGGCAAACUAGAUCCGUAACUUCGGGAAAAGGAUUGGCUCUAGGGGCUGGGUCGGUCGGGCUGAGGUACGAAGCGGGGCGCGGCGCUGUACCGGACUGGGCGAACGACGGCCUCCCUCGCGGGGGGCUGGCGUGAGCCUGGACCUGUGUCGGCGUCUUCCCGUGGAAUGCCGCAGCUAACGCGGGCCUCGCGGCCCGCUUCGGCCGGCGUCGAACAGCCGACUUAGAACUGGUACGGACCGGGGGAAUCCGACUGUUUAAUUAAAACAAAGCUUUGCAAUGGCCGUCAGCCGGU
rnacentral:ncRNA from 1 species